UACGUAGGGUGCAAGCGUUGUCCGGAAUUAUUGGGCGUAAAGAGCUCGUAGGCGGUCUGUCACGUCGGAUGUGAAAACUCGGGGCUCAACCCCGAGCCUGCAUUCGAUACGGGCAGACUUGAGUUCGGCAGGGGAGACUGGAAUUCCUGGUGUAGCGGUGAAAUGCGCAGAUAUCAGGAGGAACACCGGUGGCGAAGGCGGAUCUCUGGGCCUUACCUGACGCUCAGGUGCGAAAGCUAGGGGAGCGAACAGG
rnacentral:rRNA from 1 species